rnacentral:rRNA from 1 species
AUGUUCUCUUGGAUUCAAGCAAUGAUGGGACGAUUGCUCUUUCAACAUAUUCUAUUAGCAAGGAUGGCAAGUGAAAGUGGGAGCGACUGGAUCACUAUUCCUAUCAUGCAUUGUAGACAUGAUGCAUUGAACAUAUGUCUGACAAUUGUCCUUGCAGGAUUCGAUUCGGUACAAGACCAUCACCGAGGCAGACGUGACAAGGGGUUCAUCGUGCCAGGCACCUCGGUGCUGCUUCGCUUCGGUGCGACGGCGGCAGCGGCUACAGAAACAGCUAUGGUGAGCUCCUCUCCUCACCUCCAGUGGUUGCUCUGA